GAUGAAGAACGUAGUGAAAUGCGAUAAGUAGUGUGAAUUGCAGAAUUCAGUGAAUCAUCGAAUCUUUGAACGCACAUUGCGCCCCUUGGUAUUCCAUGGGGCAUGCCUGUUCGAGCGUCAUUUGUACCUUCAAGCUUUGCUUGGUGUUGGGUGUUUGUCCCGAGGGACUCGCCUUAAAGUAAUUGGCAGCCAGUGUUUGGUUUUGAAGCGCAGCACAAGUCGCGAUUCAAGGCUACACGCCCGCUUCCACAAGCCUUUUUUCACUUUUGACCUCGGAUCAGGUAGGGAUACCCGCUGAACUUAAGCAUAUCAAAAGCGGAGGA
rnacentral:misc_RNA from 1 species